GGUUUCCUCCUGCGGGGUGAAACCCUCCAGGUAGAACUCAACUCCAUGUCUUUUCUCGGGGCCUCUGAAGUUCAGAAAAUAAGUCUUGAAGAUCUGACUCCAGGACUGCCAUAUUUUCUCAGAAGGUCUCUGUACCACGUUGAAUAUGCCAUGGAGGCACCUGUUUGGUAAUUUUAGCAAAUGAUAGUGUUUUGCUUGCAGCAAGGCAUUGUAAUAUCCACAAGCUUUUUGAUGAAGUCUCUUCCCCUCCCCAUGCCAAACCCCCCCCCCCCAAUAAAUGUAUAAACUCAAUGAAGACAUGGCUUGCAGUGUGACAAGCAGAACUCCUGAUGCUAAUGUUCUGAGUAAUGAGCUGAGGCUCAUUGCUCAAAGGAAUGUAUUACAGGAUCAGGAGCCAGUUCCAUGUGGGCGGUUGGUUACAGCACUUUGUGAUACCAAACACGCUUAUAAACAGUUUAGAGAAAAACAUCCCUUCGGUGUUUCACUGCUGUACAUUGGCUGGGAUAAGCGUCAUGGCUUUCAGCUCUAUCAAAGCGACCCUAGCAGACAUUACGGGGGAUGGAAAGCCACAUGCAUUGGAAAUAAUAGCACCACAGCUGUGUCAGUGUUUAAACAAGACUACAAAGAAAGAGAAAUGACUCUGAGGUCAGUACUUGCUUCAGCUAUCAAAGUCCUCAAGAAGACCGUGGAUGUUACCAAACCCGCUGCUGAAAAAAGUGGAAAUUGGCCCACUCACAAGAGAGAAUGGAAAUUCACUCAUCUGAGUCCUCAAACAGAGGGAAGUGGAACUGUUGGUCAAAAAACAUGAGGAAGAAGAAGCUAAGGCCGAGCAUGAGAAGAAAGAAAAAGAACAAAGAGAAAAGGAUAAAAGAGAAGACAAAAUUGGGGAUUUUAGAAGUCUUUUUGGGCACCAUUUCCGUGUGAAAGCUAUCUUCUUCCACACUGAGAAAGCACUGGCCUUUUUAAAAACUUGA